GCAUCUGAAAUUGAGAGGAGGUUUCAGGACGUUUACCCAGCCCUUUAGUGGGGAUCUGUCUGGGACUGUGCAGUCUGAAUCUGCAACUGUAAAAGGCAUGGUCCCUGGAAACAACCCUGGUGCUGUCCAGCAGCGUGUUGAACAGGAAGUUGUGUGUGUGAAUACAAGGUUCCAUAAAAUUCCUGAUGGAGAUCGUGGAGUGAAAAGACAUUAUCACAGAAUUCCAACAAGGCUUGAAGGCAGAAUUAUCUUUAGAAAACUAAGCCUGUAUUAAUAAAAAAAAAUAUGAAAAUAUAA